rnacentral:lncRNA from 1 species
AAAAAUCCUCUGGAAGAGGAUUCGGGGGCCGAUCCCAGAGCUGCUGAGCCUCCGUCCAGGUCUCCUCACGCGCUCACGCGCCGUCCUGUACGGUGGUCUGAGGGUUAAAAUCCUCGUCCCUCCACAGGUAAUCUCUUCCCCCUUUUUUAAAAGUUACUAUUUUUUGCUAAAAUGAUGUACAUACAUGCAUAAAUUCUAAAAUAAAAAACAGUUAAAUCACCUUUUCUUUGAAACUGCUUGUAUACUCUUUUUUAUUUCUGUAUGCGUAUAUGUGUGUCUGUAAUCGUUACAAGAGUUACAAAGGCUUUUUAUAGCCUACGGAUUUGUUACAUAAGGAAAGAAAUCUUUGAUUUCUAUUGUAUCUUUGACUAAUGUGCUGCGAUUUCCUUGCCAUUUUCUACUCUGCUUUUUCGCGUAUCUGCUGUUUGUUUCCUUUUCUUGCUCUUCGUAUCUGCUGUGUUUCCUUUUCUUGCAGGUAUCCCAAUGAUCUCGGCAUUAACGGUGGUACCAAGGCUAGAAGGGAGGCCUGAGAUUGCGGUGCUUGGACGGUCACGAGAGGGACGGACGCAUUGAUGGCGCGUCAGUAUGCAUUGAUGGCCUCGUUCUGGGGAGUUGCACCGACACUCCCCGAAGCUUCCAGAAACUGUUGCGGCGCGAGGGGAAAGAGCUAGGGUUUUCAACCCUAGCUGAUAAUUUUGGGUUUUUGGGCCUCUGUUAUUCAGGUCCAAUUUAGGUCUGGGCUUCGGGUAUAUUUGGGCUAAGGUUGUAAUUGUAAUGGGUCAAAGGUGUAAACGGGUUAAGGGAUAGUUUAAAGGGUAUUUGGGCUACUGGUCUGUAACGGGUCCAUUGCAACUGUUUGGAAUUUAGUUUAGGCUGGGCUAGUCUAGUAAAAUUUGGCUGUUGGGUCUGUGUAUUUAGGCUUUGUAAAAAAAACUUUUAUGAACUGUUUAAAUUAAAU